UCUUUAUAUAAACUAUUUUAUAAUUUUAAAUUAUUAGUAGAUAAAAUAUAAAAAAGAUAUAUUAUGUUGGGGCAACAUUAAUAUAUUAAAAUUAACUGUUUAAUAAUAAAACCAAAAAUUUUUGAUGUUAAUAGAUCCUUUUUAAAGAUUAAAAAAUUAAGUU
rnacentral:rRNA from 1 species